GUGGAAAGUCUUACUUUAUUUCCACUUAGUUUAUAAAAGAAUAUCAGUGGCCACUUCUGUGGUUUCCUGGAGGAUCCAGACUACGAUUUGGUGGGCUGCUGGGUAAUCAUGAAGGUUAGUUUGCUUGUGAUCUACCACCUUAUCUUCAAACAGAAGACUCCAAAUGUUUAUGCCUUCUGCAAUUUUUUUCCCCUGACUUUUAUGUCAGUUGUGCCCUGGUAUGUAAUUCUGUGCCUUUGCCACAUUUUGACCCAGUCCAUGCAUAAGGUUUGCCCUCAGUUUAUCCAAUACCAUCGGAUUCAGUGGCCUUCUGUCAUCUGUUCUCCACACAAUCGCCUGGCCUCAGCACUGUGUGGCUGGCUGCCCUCCAGAUCCUCAUCCUGGAAGCAGCUGUCCUCACAAGGAGAGAGGAGCUUGGUUCAUCUGUAAAUAUUUUCAAGGAGCGGGACUCAAUGUCACAAAGAGGUCAAGGCUUCAGUCAUGUGGGAAGAGUGACAUGAUAGCAUAUGAGAAACGAUUAAACUUAGCAGGCAGUACUGUGCCUCUAAAGUGACAGAGACCUAAAGCGAACCAGUGUAUAUUAGAAGCCUUGCCUUACUGUCUUUCUAGCUAGGCUCUCCAAAUUCAACCUUAAGAUACUCGUGAUGUUGCCUGGAGCAUUUCAGUGAGCUCUUUGUAAAGCUUGGUUCUUCAGACCUCUCUUAAGUACUUUACAUAUACAAGGUUAGGAUGUACCCCUGAAGUAAAGAGAGUAUCAAAUAUUAGCAGAUACAGGCUCAGGGAGUUUGCCUUCUAUUUAGACAAUUUUGGUGAAUUCUAGUCUCCACACAGACUGGAAUAUUAAACAUGUCAUGAUGAAGUCGGAAGAAAUGGGCACCAAAGGAAAGGAUGGAUUAUUGUCACUGGGAGGAUUCAGUGUUAUGCAAGAAGUGGGUGUUGACAUGAAAUGUGGAUGAGUUCUUUUACCCUCUUGUAUGCUAGUGUCUGAGAUGUACAUUUCUUAGGAAGAACACAAUGUAAUGAAAAAUGAGGUGUGUUAUUUGAAGGUGAGUUAAUAUGGAGCAUCAUUGCUAGCAGUCAGAGCUGACUAGAGAAGAGCUCAUUCUGAAUGAAACGUAGAAAAGAGUUUGAUAGGCUAUGUGAGACCAUUUUGGAUGUCUAUCAAAGUUCACAUCAAUGAGAAACAUGCCCUGUGGAGAAGAGGGUCCCAAGGUCUAGGUUAGGAGUAAUAAACUACUCUUCUAACACUGCUGGAAGAAGAUGGAUGGACCACAAAGGCUCUGAGGACACACUACUUGAAUUCAAAUUUCAGCCUCUAGUUUUCUGUGUGUGCCGUUACGUUACAUGAAUCAUUUACUCUCUGUACCCACAGUGUGCUCAUGUGUAAAAAGAGGAUUAAAGUUGACCAAGUCUUCUUAAACUUUCAACUUGGACACUCAGCAUGCA
rnacentral:lncRNA from 1 species